AUUAAAUGAUGAUCAAAUUAAUUACUGAUUUGCUAUGAUGCUCCCAAACGAGCUUUUUAAUACUGAUGAGA